CCUACGGGGGACUGCAGUGGGGAAUAUUGCACAAUGGGGGAAACCCUGAUGCAGCGACGCCGCGUGAGUGAAGAAGUAAUUCGUUAUGUAAAGCUCUAUCAGCAGGGAAGAAAAUGACGGUACCUGAGUAAGAAGCCCCGGCUAACUACGUGCCAGCAGCCGCGGUAAUACGUAGGGGGCAAGCGUUAUCCUGAUUUACUGGGUGUAAAGGGAGCGUAGACGGCAGUGCAAGUCUGGAGUGAAAGGCGGGGGCUCAACCCCCGGACUGCUCUGGAAACUGUACGGCUGGAGGGCAGGAGAGGUAAGUUGAAUUCCUAGUGUAGCGGUGGAAUGCGUAGAUAUUAGGAGGAACACCAGUGGCGAAGGCGGCUUACUGGACUGUAACUGACGUUGAGGCUCGAAAGCGUGGGGAGCAAACAGGAUUAGAUACCCCUGUAGUC
rnacentral:rRNA from 1 species